GAGAAGUGGAACGAGGCUAACGCUCCUUUCUGCAAAGAACGUAGUUCUUUGAGACCUCAACGAAACCCCGGUUUCGUUGCAGGCGCGGAGUGAGGAAGUUCUCCCCACCCGUCCAACUUGUUUGGAUGAUUAAAAACACCGGAGACGGUGAGGGCAGGAUCAGAAACGCUACCCGGCAUUUCGGUGUUGGGAUGAAACGUGCUUGUCCUAGGUGCAAGGCAGUACGCCGCUUAGUAGAAUGCCUCAUGUACAGAAGGGAGACUAUGAGCCACUUCUC
rnacentral:RNase_P_RNA from 1 species